ACAGGUGAAUCCCCAGACACAGACAAAACGGAGGACUCUGGUGAAAGGAAACAGAACAAGGAUACCACACACACUGGAAUCAACGUGGUUAGAGCUUGGUAUGGGCUUGUUGACCAGGGGAAUAGAAGAGUGCCAAGAAUAAUUUUGAAACGGCUCAUUCGAACACAGCCUGGCUGGUUGUGAGUCCAGAAAAAGAACUUGUGCUCCAAUUGUUUUUGAAACAUGUUUUCUCGAAUGACCUUGCAUAGUCAAACUGUGGCUGAGUUGCAAUCAAGUGAGCUGCUUUGAAAUUCUUUAUGAAUGGUUCUGCCAGCACUGCGCAGUCCUGUUCAGUGGGACGUAGGUACAGCAAAUUCCUGAAAAAAGUAUUUAAAGCAACAUACCCCUUUUGGAGACCACAAGUUUUGCAGAGCGAGAAAAGAUGGGCAGUGAAUCGUGUCCUGUUGAGAAGAUGGCACCAGAGCCACUCCUGAAUUCCCAGGAAGCCCAAGUGAAACGCAAUGGAGAGACUUGUGUAGAUGUCACUACAUAUGGCAGAGAGAGAAGCAAAAGUUCUCCUAUAGGCUGUCUGUCAAGAGUCAAGACAUGGUCUCGUCCUUUCACAAUUCUGAGUGUGGUUCUCAAUAUCGUUCUCAUCAGUCUCUUUAUUGCGUGGUCAGUGAGAAAAUCUGAACUGUGUCUGGCUGAUCCUAAAUUCCCAGAGGCCUCAUGCCCGGGCGGCUGGGUCAGUUACCGAGAGAAAUGCUACUACUUCUCCGAGACGGAAGGGAACUGG